rnacentral:ribozyme from 1 species
GAAAGCAAAGAAGAAAGGGACAAAUGACAAAUCUGACACAUUCUUUCUUUUACUUUCUUUUUUCGAGGAUUUCGACAGUAGUGGCAACUAUCUAUCUCUAGCUCUUCUCAAGAUGGGGGUGGGUAGCACAUGGGUGCCC